AUUUGGAUGCAAUGACUUAGGAUGAUUAUGUUGGUAAAGAAUGACAGAUUUUCACGAAUUCAACUUUCAACCUUUCCUUCCCUUUCAAAAGAGUUUUAUGGAUAAGCCACAACUAAUUGAAGGUACAAUAAACUCUGAGGCUGAAACCAACAAAGAUGGAAAACAACUUGAUUAGGUUUAAGAAAUCAAGAAAAGAAAAAUUCAGAAGCAAAAACCAAAACCACCAACGAU
rnacentral:lncRNA from 1 species